CCCGCUCUCUAUGGUUACCUUCUGUCCGCUCUAUCCUCCGGGAAGCCUGAACUCUGUGGCUACCCAGGAUUUUCAUACCGCGGCCUAAUGGAAUUCCUGCGACGCCUGGUGCUGGGGGGCCUGAUGGUGGCUGGGACCACGGGGUUGGGGGUCGUGGCUUGGGCACUGGCAACGCCACGGGAGCAGCGCAGGCGGGAGAUAGCCAAGGAGCUGCAGGAGACAAACCCCCUGCACUGGGCAGAGAGGCGACAUCAGAAUGAGCUGGUAAUGGCAGCGAUCAAAGAGGCAGCUGAAACAAAUGAGAAUGUGGCCCGGAGGCCUUCACCAACCUGGAGCAAGUGACACCUGAGCAUCACCCUCCCAAGGCAACUGGUACUGAGACCCCCUUGAGGUGGGAGCAGGCUGCAUUCUCCAUCCCUGCAGCCAUCUGUGGUCUCCCACAGGCCAGAAUGGGAUGGACACUCCCUGGCUGUCAGCAGCUGUAAUGAUCAGUGACCAUUAUGCUGAGGGGGCCUCUGUCUCUUAUUCCCAGCCCCUGGUCACACCCACAGGGUAUGGGUGUCAUGCAGAUCUGACAGAGGAAAAACUACAGCAUGGGGUAAAGAAGAAGCAUUUUCAGGUCUUUAAUAAACUAACCUAGUAACCUUGUAAAGACCUGUUUAUUGUCAUGGUUAAAGCAACUAGCGGGUGCACUGGGGUUGCUACCUCUUAUGCUAAUCAUCAUGCCUCCCACAGAACUGAAUGUUGAUAAUAUCCAGGCAGCUGAUGAGGGGUAGAUGCCCCUCCCAGCAGGCUAAAAACUGCACAGGCUGAUAUUGUUAUUCCUCCACUGUUCCCACUCUGCUGUUGUGCCUUAUCACCCUGUGUGGGUUUGGCUUUUCUAUGGCAAGAUCUUUGGGGGUAGGGUCUGUUAUUUGCUCCAGGUCUUUAAAGCCCACAGCACAAUGGGAUCCUGGCUUGACUGGCCUUAAGCAACAGAAACAUUAAGUAAUUGUAUCUUUAUGCUUCCUUCUGUCAGUUUGGUGUAAUUACUUCUCAUGCUAUACUGGGAUUGUGCACUUGUUGGGGUAGGGACCAGCUCUUCCCCAUAGGUCCCUGAUGGGAGCUUCUAGAUGUAGAGAAUGCUGCAGUCCGUAUUCUCAGCAGCACAGGCUACCAUGAGUGUAGCACACCUGCCUCCUGACCUCUAUGCUGACUUCCCCCAAGUUAAACUCAAGUCCUUGGUUCUUAUCUUCAAUGUGCUCCAUGGCUGAGCCCAAGUUGCCUACAGCUUCAGGACAAGAAGAGCAGAGCACUCUGCUCCUCAGGCACAACAGAACUCUGGAAUCAGUUUGUCUAUACUGGAGACAGUGCUUCCCUGGGGGCUGGUCCCAGGUUGUAAUAAAUUCCCCCAGGAACUAAAAAUCAACCCAAAUUUCCCCAUCUUCCACUCUAAUGGUCUGGGCCACAUCUCCAACCUGCCGUUGCGAACAUCAGCACAUAGAAUAUAUAUCAUCUCUAAAAAACCAGCCAUAAUGCUAGCAGUAAAAAAAAUCCCCCUUCAUCCUCCUUAAAGAAAGAACCAGCUGUGGCAAAUGUUUGUCAUGUCACUUAAUACAUCGUUCACAAAGAAACCAGAUACCCCAGAGAAUAGGGAUGUAUAAGAACCAGAAUGGAGCAGAGUUGGU
ensembl:lncRNA